UGUAAUCUUACUGUGUCAGAGCGGGUGAGGUUUUUGCAGGACCAAAUCACAGACAAGAGCGAGGAAGCAUGAUGUUUCUCUCUUCUGGAGAAGAAUUACGACAUUGGUGACCGUGAACUCCUUGCUAUAAAGAUGGCUCUGGAAGAAUGGCUGGAGGGCAUCAUCUCACCCAUCAUCAUGUUGACUAACAACAAGAACCUUGCCUAUCUUAAGGUGUGACAGGCAGAUGCAGCCACAGCUGUGGAUCAUCAGGACUAAUCAAGAGGAGCCGUCUUAAGCAGCAGGAAUCCUGAAGGAGGCUUCAGAUUGUUAACUCCAAUGAGUGAGUGGAAGGGAACUCCGAGAACCCGGACCUGGUUCCCUUGCUGCCCAUGUUCCUAGCUUGAGUUCUCCUGGGGCCGAAAGCAUCUCACUGUGCUUCACUCAUCCCAAGUCUCCUUCAGUUUUCCAGAACCCACUCAUGUACAGAGGUUACUCACCUCUCCCCCUUGGAUCCUCAACCCGUAAAGACUCCUCCCUAUCCACCCUCCAACCUCACACCAACCGUAUGGAAGGAUAACCAGAGAAACCAUCACCACCUCACGGCAUCCUCACCUCUCAAAUCUCUGUUCUGUGGCGUCACUUACCACCUCCCGGCAACUCCACGUCCUCCUCUCAAUGUUCCGACCACCUGGACCCAGAUUCACUGACAACUUCAGUCUUUU